rnacentral:rRNA from 1 species
AUUGAACGCUGGCGGCAGGCCUAACACAUGCAAGUCGAACGGAUCCUUCGGGAUUAGUGGCGGACGGGUGAGUAACACGUGGGAACGUGCCCUUUGGUUCGGAACAACUCAGGGAAACUUGAGCUAAUACCGGAUGUGCCCUUCGGGGGAAAGAUUUAUCGCCAUUGGAGCGGCCCGCGUCUGAUUAGCUAGUUGGUGAGGUAAAGGCUCACCAAGGCGACGAUCAGUAGCUGGUCUGAGAGGAUGAUCAGCCACAUUGGGACUGAGACACGGCCCAUACUCCUACGGGAGGCAGCAGUGGGGAAUCUUGCGCAAUGGGCGAAAGCCUGACGCAGCCAUGCCGCGUGAAUGAUGAAGGUCUUAGGAUUGUAAAAUUCUUUCACCGGGGACGAUAAUGACGGUACCCGGAGAAGAAGCCCCGGCUAACUUCGUGCCAGCAGCCGCGGUAAAAC